CAGCCGCCACGGGAAUACGGAGGGAGCUAGCGUUGUUCGGAAUUACUGGGCGUAAAGCGCACGUAGGCGGCUCAGCAAGUCAGGGGUGAAAUCCCGGGGCUCAACCCCGGAACUGCCCUUGAAACUGCUAGGCUAGAAUCUUGGAGAGGCGAGUGGAAUUCCGAGUGUAGAGGUGAAAUUCGUAGAUAUUCGGAAGAACACCAGUGGCGAAGGCGGCCCACUGGACGACUGUUGACGCUGAGGUACGAAAGCGUGGGGAGCAAACAGGAUUAGAUACCCGUGUAGUCCCUGUCUCUUAUAA
rnacentral:rRNA from 1 species